rnacentral:rRNA from 1 species
GACGAACGCUGGCGGCGUGCUUAACACAUGCAAGUCGAACGGAAAGGCCUCUUUCGGGGGGUACUCGAGUGGCGAACGGGUGAGUAACACGUGAGUAACCUGCCCUUGACUUUGGGAUAACUUCAGGAAACUGGGGCUAAUACCGGAUAGGAGCUCCUGCUGCAGGGUGGGGGUUGGAAAGUUUCGGCGGUUGGGGAUGGACUCGCGGCUUAUCAGCUUGUUGGUGGGGGAGUGGCUUACCAAGGCUUUGACGGGUAGCCGGCCUGAGAGGGUGACCGGCCACAUUGGGACUGAGAUACGGCCCAGACUCCUACGGGAGGCAGCAGUGGGGAAUAUUGCACAAUGGGUGGAAGCCUGAUGCAGCAACGCCGUGUGCGGGAUGACGGCCUUCGGGUUGUAAACCGCUUUCGCUCAUGACGAAGCUUUGUGUGACGGCAGUGGGUAAAGAAGCACCGGCUAACUACGUG